rnacentral:lncRNA from 1 species
GUUGAAGAUAGUGUCCCAUAGGCAGGUGGAACACCACCUCUGGCAACAUCCAAAUAGUCUGAAAGAAUCAAGCAUUGAAUUUCUUUCAGCAACCUGUUUCGCCGACAAUAACACAGGAAAAAGAGCGAAAGAAAAAGCCAAGUAUGGAUCGGACUUCUGCAAAUAUUUCUGUACAGAUGGAUGCACGUGCAGAGGUGAGCUCACUGAAGUGAAUGGGAUGAAACACCACUCAAAGCUAUAGCAAAAACCAACAAGAACGAGAACAAUGAUGGAUCCACAAAUCUUUCGGAUGUGUCAUGGUUUAAUCCCAGCUGGCAACUAUCAC